rnacentral:rRNA from 1 species
GAUCCUGCUCAGGAUGAACGCUGGCGGCGUGCCUAACACAUGCAAGUCGAGCGAAGCAUUUUAAAGGAAGUUUUCGGAUGGAAUUUGAAAUGACUGAGCGGCGGACGGGUGAGUAACGCGUGGGUAACCUGCCUCAUACAGGGGGAUAACAGUUAGAAAUGACUGCUAAUACCGCAUAAGCACACAGUACCGCAUGGUACAGAGUGAAAAACUCCGGUGGUAUGAGAUGGACCCGCGU